UCGGUGAACCAGCGGUAGGGAUCAUUA
rnacentral:rRNA from 1 species